UAGGGAAUCUUCCGCAAUGGACGCAAGUCUGACGGAGCAACGCCGCGUGAGUGAAGAAGGAUUUCGGUUCGUAAAACUCUGUUGUUAGUGAAGAACAGCGCAUAGAGUAACUGUUAUGCGUGUGACGGUAUCUAACCAGAAAGCCACGGCUAACUACGUGCCAGCAGCCGCGGUAAUACGUAGGUGGCAAGCGUUGUCCGGAUUUAUUGGGCGUAAAGCGAGCGCAGGCGGUCAAUUAAGUCUGAUGUGAAAGCCCCCGGCUCAACCGGGGAGGGUCGUUGGAAACUGGUUGACUUGAGUGCAGAAGAGGAGAGUGGAAUUCCAUGUGUAGCGGUGAAAUGCGUAGAUAUAUGGAGGAACACCAGUGGCGAAGGCGACUCUCUGGUCUGUAACUGACGCUGAGGCUCGAAAGCGUGGGUAGCAAACAGG
rnacentral:rRNA from 1 species